ensembl:scaRNA
UUGUCCUGGCCUGUGCUUUGUCUGCUCCCUUGUGCUCUGCUCUAACAGGAUAGUCUGGCAGGACACACAGCAAUUUCCCUCUCAGUUUAGGAGGGCAGUCCUAAGAAUAGAGCUGGCUCUUAAAGGCACAAGAGGACAAU